UACGUAGGGUGCGAGCGUUGUCCGGAAUUAUUGGGCGUAAAGGGCUCGUAGGCGGUUUGUCGCGUCGGGAGUGAAAUCCACUGGCUUAACUGGUGGCUUGCUUUCGAUACGGGCAGACUGGAGGUAUGCAGGGGAGAACGGAAUUCCUGGUGUAGCGGUGAAAUGCGCAGAUAUCAGGAGGAACACCGGUGGCGAAGGCGGUUCUCUGGGCAUUACCUGACGCUGAGGAGCGAAAGCCAGGGGAGCGAACGGG
rnacentral:rRNA from 1 species